GACGAACGCUGGCGGCGUGCUUAACACAUGCAAGUCGAACGGAAAGGCCCUGCUUGCCGGGUACUCGAGUGGCGAACGGGUGAGUAACACGUGGGUGAUCUGCCCUGCACUUCGGGAUAAGCCUGGGAAACUGGGUCUAAUACCGGAUAGGAGCCAUUUUUAGUGUGAUGGUUGGAAAGUUUUUUCGGUGUAGGAUGAGCUCGCGGCCUAUCAGCUUGUUGGUGGGGUAAUGGCCUACCAAGGCGGCGACGGGUAGCCGGCCUGAGAGGGUGGACGGCCACAUUGGGACUGAGAUACGGCCCAGACGCCUACGGGAGGCAGCAGUGGGGAAUAUUGCACAAUGGGCGCAAGCCUGAUGCAGCGACGCCGCGGGGGGGAUGACGGCCUUCGGGUUGGAAACUCCUUUCGCUAGGGACGAAGCUUUUUGUGACGGUACCUAGAUAAGAAGCACCGGCUAACUACGUG
rnacentral:rRNA from 1 species